rnacentral:rRNA from 1 species
UGGGGAAUUUUGGACAAUGGGGGAAACCCUGAUCCAGCCAUCCCGCGUGUGCGAUGAAGGCCUUCGGGUUGUAAAGCACUUUUGGCAGGAAAGAAACGUCAUGGGUUAAUACCCCGUGAAACUGACGGUACCUGCAGAAUAAGCACCGGCUAACUACGUGCCAGCAGCCGCGGUAAUACGUAGGGUGCAAGCGUUACUCGGAAUUACUGGGCGUAAAGCGUGCGCAGGCGGUUCGGAAAGAAAGAUGUGAAAUCCCAGAGCUCAACUUUGGAACUGCAUUUUUAACUACCGGGCUAGAGUGUGUCAGAGGGAGGUGGAAUUCCGCGUGUAGCAGUGAAAUGCGUAGAUAUGCGGAGGAACACCGAUGGCGAAGGCAGCCUCCUGGGAUAACACUGACGCUCAUGCACGAAAGCGUGGGGAGCAAACAGG